CCUACGGGGCGCUGCAGUGAGGAAUAUUGGUCAAUGGGCGCGAGCCUGAACCAGCCAAGUAGCGUGAAGGAUGACUGCCCUACGGGUUGUAAACUUCUUUUAUAAAGGAAUAAAGUGAGGCACGUGUGCCUUUUUGUAUGUACCUUAUGAAUAAGGAUCGGCUAACUCCGUGCCAGCAGCCGCGGUAAUACGGAGGAUCCGAGCGUUAUCCGGAUUUAUUGGGUUUAAAGGGUGCGUAGAUGGGUUGUUAAGUCAGUUGUGAAAGUUUGGGGCUCAACCGUAAAAUUGCAGUUGAAACUGGCAGCCUUGAGUACAGUUGAGGUAGGCGGAAUGCGUGGUGUAGCGGUGAAAUGCUUAGAUAUCACGAAGAACUCCGAUUGCGAAGGCAGCUUACUAAGCUGCCACUGACAUUGAUGCACGAAAGUGUGGGUAUCAAACAGGAUUAGAUACCCCGGUAGUC
rnacentral:rRNA from 1 species